GUUUGAUGGCGACCGGCGCACGGGUGAGUAACACGUAUCCAACCUGCCGAUGACUCGGGGAUAGCCUUUCGAAAGAAAGAUUAAUACCCGAUGGCAUAGUUCUUCCGCAUGGUAGAACUAUUAAAGAAUUUCGGUCAUCGAUGGGGAUGCGUUCCAUUAGGUUGUUGGCGGGUAACGGCCCACCAAGCCUUCGAUGGAUAGGGGUUCUGAGAGGAAGGUCCCCCACAUUGGAACUGAGACACGGUCCAAACUCCUACGGGAGGCAGCAUG
rnacentral:rRNA from 1 species